rnacentral:rRNA from 1 species
AGCAGCCGCGGUAAUUCCAGCUCCAAUAGCGUAUAUUAAAGUUGUUGCAGUUAAAAAGCUCGUAGUUGAAUUUCGGGGUUAGCAAGUUGGUCGUGCCUUUGGUAUGCACUGGCUUUGCUGAUUCCUCCUUCUUGAAGAACUGUGAUGCUAUUAAUUUGGUGUUGCAGGGAAACAGGACUGUUACUUUGAAAAAUUAGAGUGUUUAAAGCAGGCUAACGCUUGAAUACAUUAGCAUGGAAUAAUGAAAUAGGACGUUUGAUCCUAUUUUGUUGGUUUCUAGGAUUGACGUAAUGAUUAAUAGGGAUAGUUGGGGGCAUUAGUAUUCAAUUGUCAGAGGUGAAAUUCUUGGAUUUAUUGAAGACUAACUACUGCGAAAGCAUUUGCCAAGGAUGUUUUCAUUAAUCAAGAACGAAAGUUAGGGGAUCGAAGACGAUCAGAUACCGUCGUAGUCUUAACCAUAAACCU